GAGUAACCCGCCCGAGGUUCUCGCGAUAGGGUCUUUUUGAGUUUUAGUCCUGCUCACUUUCCCUUGGAACACUGGCUUGGGUUCAGAAUGUCCGAAUAUUGUCGCAAUCAUAGCACCAAAGAAUGACAACCCCUCAGGGUCGCCCUUUAGCGUGAGUGCCUCUGAUAACUCUGUAAGCAAGUUACCUUUUAACAAUCUGAUACCAUC
rnacentral:misc_RNA from 1 species